CAGUCGCCGCGGUAAUACGUAGGCGGCAAGCGUUGUCCGGAAUUAUUGGGCGUAAAGGGCUCGCAGGCGGUUUCUUAAGUCUGAUGUGAAAGCCCCCGGCUCAACCGGGGAGGGUCAUCGGAAACUGGGAAACUUGAGUGCAGAAGAGGAGAGUGGAAUUCCACGUGUAGCGGUGAAAUGCGUAGAGAUGUGGAGGAACACCAGUGGCGAAGGCGACUCUCUGGUCUGUAACUGACGCUGAGGAGCGAAAGCGUGGGGAGCGAACAGGAUUAGAUACCCGGGUAGUCCCUGUCUCUUAUAC
rnacentral:rRNA from 1 species